rnacentral:rRNA from 1 species
CAGGAACACGUGCGGGGCUGCGGCGGCGAUCCCCGUGGUGUCCCCGGACCGGAGGCCAUCGAGGACGUAGAGCGCCGGGAGCGCGGCACCAACGAGGAACCCGCCCAUGGUGUGCGCGGCGAGGAGGAGGCGCGCGAGGCCGAGGAAGACGGGCAAGGACGGGUUGGGCUUCUCAGGGCGCUUGCGGGAAGGCCAGCGUGGCCAGGAGAAGGUAGGGGAGGAGCAGGACGGCGAAGGCGAUCUCCAAGAGCGGCACGGUGGUCGAGAAGGCCAGCACGGCCUUGGCGCCCUGCGUGUUGAGAUGCUUGCAUGUUUCAUGACAUGUACCUGAAGGUCAAGGUAACAUGUUCAAGAACAAGAGGGUCCUCAUGGAGAGUAUCCACAAGUCCAAGGCUGAGAAGGCAAGAGAGAAGACCCUCUCUGACCAGUUUGAGGCCAAGCGUGCCAAGAGCAAGGCUAGCUAGCAGGGAAAGGAAUAUUGCGAGGAGGCAGGAGAGAUUGGCUCAGGUAAGAUGAUUUUCACUUGAGCCCUGUCUAUUUCCUCACAUAGUUAGAUUUGUGCUGCAUUAUAUUGGUACUGAAAUACAUAAUGCGUGCACAUGUCUCCUGUUGGAUGUUUCAGAGAUGCUUAUGCAGGGUUUCUUUAAUCUUUUUGGUUCAUGGUACCAGCUAAUGAAAUUUACGUGCUCUGAUGAUGAAUUCGUGCCAUGUCGAGUUGGAUUGGCGGUGGCGUAUUUUUCCUCUUGUAGUCAAAUUAGUGAGAUGCUUCGUUCUCUUCUUUAUGUGAACCUACAUGUAUGACCAGUGUAAUUAGGUGCAGUAGUUUUGGUCAAUGUCAAAGCAGAAGAGAGCUACAUGUAUGACAGUAUUGAAUCACGGCGAGAGAGUAAUGUAGCUUCGUCCCUCCCUGAUACCGUGCAAUCAUGUCUAAUGUCUUUCAUUAAAUCUCCGCGGAGGUGCCGGCCGGCCGGUACAUAUCCCGAUCUACUUGGAUGUGCGGACCUGGGAGUUGGAACAAUUCACCAAGAGAAGCCAGUUCGUGUAUAACAGAAUGGGUGGAAUUUAUCAUGAGAUCCUACCCAAAUCCGAGUACUUCUCCAAGGCACUGUACACCUUCCAUUUCGCCCAAAACGAUCUCUCUGUGGGCUACUUCACCAAUAAGACUACCAAACAGAUUGAGGCCUAUGACCCCGAUCCUAAGGAGCGGUUCACUGUGGCAAUGCAGAAACUCCGCGGAAAGCUGCUGCAGAUAGGUGUUGUGCUGGUAUAUUCUUUCUGUAGCCUUUGUUCAGCAAAUGCCAAAAAUAGUGUUUCUUUCAUGCGUACAUCGUUUCGUUUGGAGUUUUGCCCACUUGAUCUGAAUAUGAGGAAGGACAAAUAUCUUGUAGCAAAUCAGAUUCAGGUCAUGUCAUGA